UUCAUCGUAUUUCAGUAGGUUAAUAAAAGAUUGUCGAUAGAAUAUAAUUUAUAUUAACUUAAUAAUUUAAUGUCGGUGACUCAGUGUUUCUUUUCUAUUAUUCUUAUUAAGUAAGACCCUACUUUUAGAAAGAAGAAAAUAAUGAUUCAACACAUUGCUGUGCAUUUAUAAACAUAACUUGGGCAUACAAGACAAAAUGAUAAACAGUGACACUCAAAAUUCAAACAAGACUCGGGUUAUUAAAGUCAUGACAGACUAUAAUAACAAAUAUUUUGUCGAUAUAUGGAAGGAAACCAUUCUAUAAGGACAAUUACGUUAAGUUAAUUGACAGCCAUUGGUUAAAAUGCAUCGUUCUACGUUCUACGUUUGAAGAAUUAUAUACUUAUGCCAUUAUGGUGUUCGGAUCAAGGCGUAACAACGUAUUCGAAAGAAAAAAAUGAAAUCGUUUACACCAACGAAACAAGAAAUGAUUAUAACCUGUGUUAUUAACAUCAACAGUUCCUGUGGAUCUUAUUUAAUAUUUUAAUAUGGUAAUGAAUUCACUUAUUGUUAUUUGAUUUUAAGUAGAUGAAUAUGAUUAAAACAAUUGUAAGUUAUUUCAAAGUGUAGGUACCUAAUGUUGGCACUUUUGCCUAUUUGGGCUCAAACUAUUAUGAAAUAUCAAUCAUAUAAUUAUAAAUUAAACGUUUUUCUUCACAACACAAGUAAAAGGGGAAAAGCUCAAACUUUUUUGGACACAGAACACAAAACCCAUCAUAUUUAAGCCUUUUUCACUUUCUAAUUUUUAAGAAAAACCAUAGAUUCUUAAACAAUUGUUUAUUUUUAUCAAUGAAGUGCAUCUAUCCAAUCGUAGUUUUUACUAUAGGUACGCAAACAAUAAUGAUUACCAAUAAUUGUAUUAAAUAUUUUAAAUAAUAUUAAUGACUAGGAAAGACUAUUCCAUUUUAUUUGUUAAACAUACACUUAAACAAAAAAAUCGAAUACUCAGUAGUCAGUGAUUUAUAUUAGACGUUAAAAAUAAAUUUACUAUCAAAUUUGAUGAUCUCGAACUUUUUAAACUCAAAAUCGUCAAUACCUCAUACUUUUUCCCUGACCCCUUACUCUUAAGUAUACAUUUCAGUGCUCCGUUAUGUUUCAACAAGUAAAAGAGUAAUUUUGAUCGUGUUUUUAUGUUUAAAUGUUCGUUCGUAAUGUCGACAUUAAAACGCAUGCAAAAGAAUUUCGUAUUCCACUUAAUACUUUGUCAACUUAUCUUAAAAAUAAAGAAAACAUUUUAAGAAAGUUGUCUACAUCCUGUAAAAAGGACAAAACAAGGGCUAGGGAAUCGAAAAAUCCUGAUGUUGAUGAAUGUGUGUUUAAAUAAACAAGUGAAAAAAAAAUUCCACUGAGCGGAAAAGCUCAAAAAAGCAAAAACAAUUUUAAAGCAAGCAGUGGAUAGCUCGAUGGUUUCAAACAAAGAAAUGGCAUUUGUCUUAAAACCAUAAUUGGUGAAAGUGGUGAUGGUUGGAAAAUAAAACUGCAACAAAUGAUAAGAGAAAAAAACUCCAAAGACAUUUUUACAGACGAAACAGGUUUAUUUUAAAUAUGUCGAUGUUUAUUAAUUGAUUGCAUUCAAGCGAAAUAUAGUCGAUUGGGUCGUUAUAGUCAUAAUCCAUAUGGUAUAUGGUUUUAUGUGUUUUUUUUUAUGAGAAUAAGUAGGGCAGGAACGAGACAUUUAUUGAGGAACAUGAAAUUGUACUAGUUCCAGAAGCUCAGGACUAGAUAUAGUUCAGUUUACAAAUUUAAUCAUGAAGUGAAUAUCAUUGCGUUGUUGUCUGUUGUCCAGACAUUCAAAGCGGAGGCUGUUUUGAAUCAUAUUUCUUGGUAUAGAUAAGAAAGGAGAGAGGUCACCAGUAUUACGUUGUCGUUUGUAGCUAAUAUAUCGUAAAAAUUUCCUCUGAACACGCUCGAGUGAUUCAGUCAAACCUAUUUGCGUCGGAUUCCAUAAAAUUUAACAAUAUUCAAGUAUUGAUCCAACAUUUGAGACAUGUAGUGUUUUUAGUGUAUAGGGGUGUAGUGCAUACCAUUAAUUGUAUUUCUAUACUGUUAAAUAAAAAUAUCGAUGGCAGAUUUUGAUCAUUUUGAAGUACCCAAUAGGAAGGUUGGCCAGGAAACAGAAAUGUAAAAGACGAACAAUAGAUUUGGAAUUAUUGUUAGAUUGGCGAUUGUGCUAUAAACAUGAUCAUGGGCCCCAUAUACCGCGGUGGCAAUGCUUGGAAUAUUUGAACACAAGAAAAUUAUAUUUUUAGACUAAAAUUUGAUUAUUUAUACAUGUUUAUAUAAAUUUAAUAGACGUUAUAAAUGUUAUAAUAAUUAUUGACGAUUUUUUUCGACAAAAUGUCCUAAUGAUUACCUUUUUAUCCCCGAUGAAACUUUAAAAGAUUUGAUGCAAUGUUAAUAACAUAGUUAUGACUGUCGUGGUCCACAGCAGGUGCAAGUGCUUAGUAGCAGCUAGGGACUAAAAUGAAGGCAAUAUCUGUGAGCCAAUAAUGUGACGCAAGCCAGAAAAUGUUACAAAAAUCGAAUGAUUUUAACGCCAUAUAAUAUGUACAUGACCGAUAAAAAAAACUAUUGAAAUCAAUUGAUAUAAAAUUUAAAAUAAGAAAAAUAAUAAUUAGGUAAUAUUUGGUAAUUUGUAGAUAAUUCAUUAAUAGUUUAUAAAUAAUAAUCUAAAAAUCAUAAUAUUUAAAAAAUAAUACUACUAGGGUGAACUCACUGGGUUUAACUUUUAUAUGUGGCACAGCAUUUGAUACGUAUCCCCCCCCCCCCCCAACACCACCAGACUGUUCGAUGUCAGUCCAUUAUAAUAUAAUAAUAUCUUAGAUAUUAGAUAUUAUCUUAGUCCCUGGUAGAAGCACUGCUGUGUACCGCCCAUGAUCGCUCUUUCCAACUGCGAAAAUGGGGCACAAACACCAUGACUUUUGCUAUAUAUAUUUUUUUCUAUUUUUAAAGCGAAGCUUCUUAACGCUUGUUCUACGUAGUGAAAUGGGAAAAAAGGUUACCAAAAAAAGACCCGCGUGACGCUCUCUCUUAACACGGGACCGACCGCAUCGCGUUCAGCGACUCAUGCGCGCCGCGCCGGGGUCCGAGUCUGCACGCCGGCCGGCGCUCUGUUUCUGACUCAGCUGUCACCCGACCUGGUGUCUCUUAAUGGAAACAAACAAAUACCGUUACAAGAUAUCAGUUUCCAUUAAUUCCUGCGAUGGCUAUAACCAUACACAAGUCACAAAGUGCAUCAUUUGAUGAAAUAGUUUACGAAUAUGACAAAAAUCAUUACCUACAAUUAGUGUACGUCGCUUUAUCUCGUGUCACUAGUAUUGGUCCUAGGCGUUUUACCUUUUUAUUUUUAAAAAAAUUAAUCAAAAUUUCCUAUUAUUAAAAUUUAAAAUUAUAAAUUAAUUUAAUCAAUAAAACGAAAAGAAUCCGAGUAAAUAAGCUUAUAAAUCAAGUAACUAAUAACUAAUAACCUGUUAAUAAUAUAAUGAAUAAUAAGCCAUGACCAUUAAAAUAUAUUAAACGUUUCCAAAAUAUAAACUUUUAAUCCUAAUAAGUAAUAUUACUCUUAAAAUUAUAAUUUACCGUAAAAUCGACAUGAUAUUUUAUUCUUUACAAAAAAAAAAAAAAAAUUAAAACGCAUGAAAUAAAUUACCUGUACACUUUAGAUUAUUAUAGUUAUGAUAAUAUAUUUAUCGAAUAGUAUAUAAGGAUUCUAGAGAUAAACAAUGCGUUCCAUUUAUACAUAUAAUAUUAGAUUUUUAUUAUAAUUUAUAAUAUAUUUUAGAGAUUAGAUUUUGAAUGAUGACGUUAGUCUGAAAAUAUAUAUUUAUAAUCGUAAUUCCAGAUUUCAGAGUUUCAAAAGCGUAAAUUAAAAGGCCAACUCGUUAAUGUUGGUUUCGUAUGAGGUGCUAAACAUAGUACUCUAUAAGGAUUAUAAUAAGUGGUAGUGAGUUAAUAAAUUGAGUGAAGUAAAUGUGCGAUUUAAUUCAUAUCUAUAAUGGAAUAUAAAAGACUGGAAAAUACGUGUAUAAUGGAAAAAAAGAUGGAACUUAAAACCAUUAUAAUUUAGACUAGACUAAAAUAAUUAUUAUACCUAGUUAUAAAAUAAAAGAAUAAUAUUAUUUUUUACGUUAUGUUGAGACAUUAGGAGUACCUACCUACAUAUAUGACGAUAGUGGCACUAUUUUUAAAAUAAUGGAUUAUAUUAAAUUACAUUAAAAUAUUAUAUUCACAUACCUACUAUAUUAAUGAUACUUAUAUUAUGAAAAAUGUAGCUAUUGGUUCCAUAGUAUUUACCUCUAAAAUUGAUUUAUGAAUAUUUUUAAAAAGCAUAUAAAGAAAUUAUAAAAAAACGAAUUUGCAUCUUUGUGAUUAGUAAUUAUAUAAAAAAAGAUUCACUGUUACCUGGUACAGGGUUAUAUUAUGUAAUGCUUUGACCAGAUAUAGUAUCGAUUCGGCACAGCUUUUUUCGUCCUAGAGAUCCGGAGCCCGGUUUUUUUGAUUAAUUUUGAAUGUUAAAAAUAAAAAUCAUAGACAAUACCAUGACAUUUGUGUUAAAUAAAAAGUUAAGAAUCUCAAACCUUUGAAAAAA